rnacentral:misc_RNA from 1 species
GAAAGCAACCAGAACAUACAAGACCAUAUGAUUCAAAGAUUGCUCCCGAUGGUUAAUAACAGCCAAGCAAUGAAUUGGGUUGAGAAGGAAGCUGUAAAUCACAUCAUCAAUGAUGUACUUGCUAGCUUGCCAACAAAUGCCAAUGACACAGGUUCCUUUGGGAAUUUGGUGAUUUUUUAGAACAGCACAUCAGUUGUAACAAUUUCAGAAAAUACUUUAGGUGGCAUUGUGACAAAGAACAAUGGCGUUAAGGCUUUCUCCUUCAAGAAUCCUAGUUUUAACAAGAUGGAUCCACCUUUGCAAAAA